GAGUUUGAUCUUGGCUCAGGACGAACGCUGGCGGCGUGCUUAACACAUGCAAGUCGAGCGGAAAGGCCCUUCGGGGUACUCGAGCGGCGAACGGGUGAGUAACACGUGGGCAACCUGCCCCUAGCUCUGGGAUAACUCCGGGAAACCGGUGCUAAUACCGGAUACGACCUCAUUAGGCAUCCUUUGAGGUGGAAAGAUUUAUUGGCUAGGGAUGGGCCCGCGGCCUAUCAGCUUGUUGGUGGGGUAAUGGCCUACCAAGGCGACGACGGGUAGCCGGCCUGAGAGGGCGACCGGCCACACUGGGACUGAGACACGGCCCAGACUCCUACGGGAGGCAGCAGUGGGGAAUAUUGCGCAAUGGGCGAAAGCCUGACGCAGCGACGCCGCGUGAGGGAUGACGGCCUCGGUGUAACCGUACUUCUAGCAGGACGAAGACGGCAACGUGACGGUACCGUACGCGAGAAGAAGACGCCGGCC
rnacentral:rRNA from 1 species